rnacentral:rRNA from 1 species
AUGGUGGAGUGCUUGAGGAUGUGGAGGCUGAACUGGCCGCCCUUCUCAGUCGUGUCAAGCUUGUCCUGGCCGGGCGGCGGCGAGAGCACGAAGUUCUGGACGAGGCGGCCGAUGGUGAUGCCGAGGAUGGGGAGCGCGAGGAUGAUGCCGGGGCAGCUCCGACGGCCGACGCCGAAGGGCAGGUACCUGAAGUCGUUGCCGUUGGCCUCCACGUGCUUCUCCUCCUCGAGGAACCUCUCGGGGCGGAACUCGUCGGGCCGCUUCCACUGCUCGGGGUUGUUGGCGAGGAACCAGGCGUUGACGAGGAUCUUGCUCUCGGCGGGGAUGUUGUAG